AGACUCGCAACUCUCUGUUUUGACUUUGAGGACGAAAUCGUUGCCACAACGAAGAUGAGAUUGCGUUGAAAGCGUCGAAAUUGGCUUGUGAACUUCCGUAAGGGUUUGAAGGGAUGGGUAAGCCAAAUAAGAAGAUGGAGGAAUAAUAGGCAGUUUUGAUGAGGGUUGGUUAUAUCGAGAAGCACAUUUGAGUUUGUUUGCUAGAGGCAACGUACUCGAGGGGAACUUGUGGGAAUUAAUUGUACAACUGC